rnacentral:rRNA from 1 species
CGAACGCUGGCGGCGUGCUUAACACAUGCAAGUCGAGCGGAAAGGCCCUUAGGGGUACUCGAGCGGCGAACGGGUGAGUAACACGUGAGCAACCUGCCCCUGGCUCUGGGAUAGCUCCGGGAAACCGGGAUUAAUACCGGACAUGACCUGCUGCGGCAUCGCGGCGGGUGGAAAGUUUUUCGGCCAGGGAUGGGCUCGCGGCCUAUCAGCUUGUUGGUGGGGUAACGGCCUACCAAGGCGACGACGGGUAGCCGGCCUGAGAGGGCGACCGGCCACACUGGGACUGAGACACGGCCCAGACUCCUACGGGAGGCAGCAGUGGGGAAUAUUGCGCAAUGGGCGGAAGCCUGACGCAGCGACGCCGCGUGCGGGAUGAAGGCCUUCGGGUUGUAAACCGCUUUCAGCAGGGACGAAAAAGGACGGUACCUGCAGAAGAAGCGCCGGCUAACUACGUGCCAGCAGCCGCGGUAAUACGUAGGGCGCAAGCGUUGUCCGGAAUUAUUGGGCGUAAAGAGCUCGUAGGCGGCCUGUCGCGUCCGCUGUGAAAUCCCGGGGCUCAACCCCGGGCCUGCAGUGGAUACGGGCUGGCUGGAGGCAGGCAGGGGAGAACGGAAUUCCUGGUGUAGCGGUGAAAUGCGCAGAUAUCAGGAGGAACACCGGUGGCGAAGGCGGUUCUCUGGGCCUGUACUGACGCUGAGGAGCGAAAGCGUGGGGAGCGAACAGGAUUAGAUACCCUGGUAGUCCACGCCGUAAACGUUGGGCGCUAGGUGUGGGUCCCUUCCACGGGGUCUGUGCCGCAGCUAACGCAUUAAGCGCCCCGCCUGGGGAGUACGGCCG